UCGUGCUGCGCCGGGGAGUACUUGAACACGAUCGUGUCCCCCGGGUGAAACUUCUUGGAGGACGCCCAGUUGCCGUAGUCGGUUCUCAGGUCCCACGCGCCGCCCGGCUCGCCGACGUUGUAGGUCGCCGCCGAGGCGGUGCCCAGGACGGCCAUUGCGGCCAAGGCAAGGAGAGCAAUUCUCAUGGCAGCCAUAUCUGCGAUCGGUCGUUUGGAAGGAGCAGUGCAAGCAGAGGAGAAUACUCUGCAGAUGGUUGAUCCUAAGCCGGGGUUUGGUGUUAACUGCUUCUGUAUGUGUCCGUGCCGUGCGUUAUAUAUACGAGCUAGCUUAGGCCGGACGGUCAGGAGCCGUUAACGCGGUAGGCCGAGACGUAGCACGGUCUUUGGAUUUUGGAGUUGAAAAGUCGUCCAGAUUGGCACUUGAACACGAGCAGAUAGCACUUGGUCAUAAAGCUAGAUAUAAAACUGAGUUGUUGGCGUACUGAUCGAGUUCUUCACGCGUCGCUCCCACUACGCGGUCUACGCUACACACGCGCGCGGUGGACUAUCACAAUAUGUUAUGCAACUGUGAUCGACACCUUUCAACUGAACUCUUCUAGAUCCAUUGACCCAGGGCCAGGAUCACACGUUUCAAUGUUAACUUAUCACAACUAAUCAAUAAAACUGUCUCCAAGUUCCAGCAGAGCGGUACUCAGAUGCACUAACCUAAGAUAAACAGUACUCCCUCUGUCCCGUAAUUCUUGUCAUUGUCCUAGUAUAAAUUUAAACUAAAACAGUGACAAAAAAUCAUGAGACAAAGAAAGUACUUUUCAUAAACGGGGAGGGAUGUAAAUCAUGCUUGUUGAGCUUAGCGUGUUGCGAGCUCGGCCACCAUAUGUAUCUGAAUUUUCUGCGUCGCUGGCAUGUAUGAACUCGUUAUUGGCUUUCUAUAAAAGAAAGUAGGACCGAUUUGUGAAAAAAAAAGACCCAGCUACAAAUCUUUCACUCACUGAAAAGUGAAAACCUGUGACUAUAUCGUCCGGAACAUGGAUGCGACGAGAAGAAGUGGCAUUUAGAAGUAUUGCUGAACUUUACAUUUAGUUUUCGGCAUAACAAAGCUUGCAUUUUCUUUUUGCACUCAGGCGCACAUCGUGCCGUUGGUAAUGAUUAUACUACGGUGCUGCAAAUUCGCAAGCUGAUCCUAAGUAAUCGAAUCAACAAUUUCUGACUUAGAAGGGUAACGAACAUUUAAACAACAAAACCAACACUCAAAAAUCAGGAAAAAUCAGUUUGCUUUCAACUAUAUGAACAAUACUUUCAACCAACAUUUGAAGAAGACACGAGAAAGUUACAUAAUAUAUGUAGGAAUAAAUUUCACAAAACCGCAUUUCUUGUGGCUAGGAUACUUCACAAAAUCACGGUAGUUGCAAUAAUAGUCUCGAGGAACCACAACUAUGGGGGCCAUCUUUCUCGUAGAAGCCAACUGAGGGGAUUAAGAUGUUUGAUGGUAUUUCCGAUGGUCGGGCCGACCUAUCAUACACCAUGUCCCACCUAUCAUUUGAUAGGUGGGACAUGGUGUAUGAUAGAUCGGCCCGGCCUGUUAAAAAUACCAUCAAACAUCUUAAUCCCCUCGAGUCAGCACAACUGUAUCGAUCACGGGACUUCGAAAGCGGGGAUGCAAAGGUUUGUUCGUUUGUCUGGAAAAAAAAAUAUGCCAGAUCUAUUUAGUCCUCCAGCAUCUGUUUUUGGAGCACGGGUGGUGUAAAAAAGCUCAUUAGAAGUUAUGUGCAACUUAGUUUAGCAGGAAAGUUAUGUGCAACUUGGUCGACUUAGAAUUUAGAAAUAGAAAAUCUGCUUCUUUUUUUCAGAACUCAAAUAGAAAAUCUGCUUUAUUCAUCCUCCAAAAAUCAAUGUACGAACAGAUCAAAUACACAAGACCUGUAGAUAGUCAACUGGUCACAACUACUCCCUCCGUCCCAAAUUAAAUAUCGUGGUUUUGCAUAGACACGACAGUUAAUUUGGAACGGGGGAGUAGUAACUAUGUGUCUACGACUCUACGUAUAAGCACAUAUGUGUGCGUGAGGUAGCAGAGAAGAAAGAAGCAGAGAAGCAUCAAGCCAUGAGACCGGCGAGCAGGACGGCGGCGAGGCCAAAGCCUGCUGCGGCGCCGACAGAGGCAGCGGCAGAUGACGGCGGUGGUGGGGGAGAGUUGCUUGCGCCAGGACCGGCGGCCGGGGCUGGUGACGACGACGAGGAACCCGGCGUGACUUCGAUCUUGACCUUCAUCAGGCCAGUGCCGGAGGUGGUGCAGUGGCCAGGGAAGCCACAGAUGAAGUAGCGGGUGCCGGUGGAGGUGAGGGCCACAACGUCGUUGCCGGUGGUGUGCGUGGCGAUGGGGCUGUUGGUGUUGCAGGAGUCGUAGUCGGCCUUGCUCACCUCAAGCACGUCGUGCUGCGUCGGGGAGUACUUGAACACGAUCGCGUCACCGGGGUGGAACUUCUUGGACGACACCCAGCUGCCGUAGUCGGUUCUCAGGUCCCAUGCGCCGCCCGGCUCCCCGACGUUGUAGGUCGCCGCCGAUGCGGUGCCCAGGACGGCCAUUGCGGCCAAGGCAAGGAGGGUGAUUCUCAUGGCAGCCAUUUAUGCGAUCGAUCGGUCGGAAGGAAGGAAGGAGCAGUGCAAGCAGAGGAGAAUGCGGUAGAGAUUGUUGAUCCUAAGCCGGGUUUUGUGUUAAUUGCUUCUGUAUGUGUUCGUGCCCUGCGUUUAUAUAUACUCCUAGCCUGGGUUGUUUAAACACGAGCCAUGCGCGCGGUAGGUAGAGACGUAGAAUGGUCUUUGGAUUUUGGAGUUGAAAUAUCGUGUGGAUUGGUACUUGAGCACAAGCAGCUUGGUCUUUCACUACGUAUCAAACUGGGUAGGAGUAGUAUUUUGGAUUUUGCGUGUGAAAAGUCGUCCAGAGUUGGCUUGUACUUGGUCAUACAGCGACUGAGCGACGUAUCAAACUGAAAUGAAGAUCUGAAGACUGGGCUCAGUUGGUUGGCCUACUGAGUUCUUCACGCGUCGCGUCCAUUUUACUUUGAUGUCGACGCGGUCAACGCUACAACUGAACGCCCGGUAGACUAUCACGUUAUGCAAUUGCGAUCGACACCUUUCAACUAAAAUCUUCCACAUCAAAGGUUCCACAUUUGAAUGUUAACUUGUCCGGAAUAGCAACAAAAUAAAACUUCUCUGAAAUUUCCAGCUUAUUUCAAGAAUUUCACAAUUUUCUUACCAAUAUAAUCAUUUUCAAUUUUCAACGGAGAAAAUCAACAAUUUCCGGCUUAAAAGGUAAAUGGUAUUUAAACUGCAGAGCCAACACUCCAAUUAGAAAAUAUUCAGUUGCUUUCAACAGAAUGAACUAUAAUUUCAACCAAUAUUAUUUGAAGAAAAUACGAGAAAGUUACAUAUCUAGAGGAAGAAAGGAGGCACAUGAUGCAGAAAAGGUAGAGAAAAAAGAGGAGGGUGUAAAGGUUUACCUCCAAAAAGCGUCAUCGAGCGGACGGUAGAGUUGUUGUUGGGGAAGGAGGGACGGGACAAUGACGUUAGAUCUAGGAGGCGUGGUAGCGGUAUUGGUAGAUUGCGGAUCGGGAAAAAAAUGGGAAGGGUGAGGCCAUGAGCACCCAUCUAAGCACUGGAAGGACCAUCCGCGUCGCUCCUGGGGGCGGCUCAGGCGGAAACCCUAGCCGCCGCCCAACCCGAACGGCUUCCCUUUCCCCUAGCCGUCGCCGGAAGAUGCUAGCGGGCUACGGCGGCAGGGCUUUCCCGUGCUGCUUCGCUUCAGAUCUUGUGGAGGCGCGCGGGGGCCGCGGCUGGCGGCGGGUGGGGGCUGCGGCAGGGCUGUGGCUGUGGUGGCCGGCAUGCGGGGGCUGCGGCAGGGCUGCGGCUGCCGGUGCUCUCGGGCAGCGGGGCUUGCGAAAGCCGGGGCGGCGGCUCCGGUAGCGGGACGGCGGUGCCCCUGCCGGCGUGGUCUCCGGGAGGCAGAGGCGACGGCGGGAUCUGACACUGGCGGGUGUGCGGAGCGUUGGUGGCCAGGUGUGGUGGCGGGAUCUGCAGCUGGGCGCCGGUGUGGCGCGGGAUCUGCCCGUGGUGCGCUGGUGGCCUGUCUCGCGGUGGAGUUGGGUCUGGCGGUGGCCGGAUUGAGGUGUGCGCUGCUCGUGCUGCGGGGCUGCUUUGUCGCCGGCCUGGCCAGCCUUAAUUGGCGGACGGCGGGGAUUUUUGGGAGGCCUCCCUGAUUGCUGAUCUCGAGCAGUCGGUGCGUCCCCCUGCCCUCGCACGAGGCUUCAGCACGCAUGCUUCUGGCUGGCGUGGCUGUGGCAGUGGAUGCCGAGACGGCGGUCCCGGGAAGUGGCCAUGGUAGUCUUUGCAGUGGAUUUGGCGUGUGGGCGUGAAUUUUGCGAAGCCUUGCUUUGGCAGAGGAAGGAUGUCGAGGCGGCGGCCUCGGAAGGGGGUCAAGGUGGUUUGCUGCGUGGGGCAUGGUUGGGUAUCGGACGCCGGAGCGGCGGCUCCGGGAUGCUUCGGUCCUCGGACGGUCAGAUGAGAAGAGAUUUGCAGGGCUCUUGAGGCGUGCCUCACUUCCACCUUUGUCGGGUCGGCCCAAUUCUGCUCCUCUCAUAACACAAUUGGUUUCUCUCCCCUUUAAAGGGCGGUAGUGUGUGCGGUUGGGUGGUGGUGCACUGGCAAAGGUUCAUCAUGCUCCUUCGGAGCCUGUCGAGGCCAUUCAGCCCCUUUCUGGUGAGUCAUCCGGAUCUGGCUUGCUAGUGGGGGGGUGUGAUGUGGUUGCUCGAUGUGGCGGGGAUCUUCUUCAGCUACUUCCAUUCGUUUGUUGGUGUGUAGGUGGUGCGUUUUUUCUUGUCGUCUCGGUCUCUGUCGACCGUUGGGGGCUUCGUCCCCUUUGUAUCUGGUUUUCUCCCGAUUUUUCCUAAUUAACUGGACAACUCUUUCUUCUAUAAUGCAAUGCAGGAGCUCCCUGCCCCUUUUGAGGUGUCCUAAAAAAAAAAAGGCCAUGAGACCACAACUACUGAUUUAGUGGAUGCCUCAGCACCAAUGUAAGGGCGCCAACCUAGUGUAUGCAAGCGGGAGAUAGGGCCAGCCUGUUGUCGUAGGCUUUGAGACGAUGAUUCUCAAAGCCUCUCUACAGGGUAUAGCGUCAGCACCAACGGCAUCGUAUAGGCUUUUACAAAACCAUGGGGGCAGGCGUCGAGAUGUGCCCCGCUGGACACGAAUGGUCAGUUGCAGGUCAACGGCGACAUCGCAAAGCCACCAUUUAGUAUAAGGAUGGUACAAAGAUGGCAUUGAGACUAAAGAUUAGAAAUAAAAUGAAAUUGAAGUACCAUCUUUUGCAGUAGCGACAUGUUGACAUUGACGAGCAGACAGAUAGUCAGGGGCAGACCAACGCCUAGGGCAACCUGGGCUAUAACCCUGGGCUUGGAACCAAAUAAUAUGUAUAUCUACUAUAGAAAUAAUCAAAAAUAUUAAUCUUAGUACAUAAUACCUCUGUUUAGUCAUGGACUUGGGUGCUCAGCCCUGGGCUCAAGGAAAUCCUUGGUCCGCCACUGCAGAUAGGUAACAUAGCAACUGAUAUUUAGACCACUUGUUUAUUGUUGUUUGUUGUUUAACGUAUGUUUUUCUAAUCUUGUAGUUUGUCAUCACGAUUCACAAGCUGGUUAGUACUCCGUCUGUGAUUUUUGUUGUUGUCAUUGCAUGAAUGUUUUUUAAUCUUGUAGUUAGUCAUCGCGAUUCACAAGCUGGUUACUACUUCGUCUGUGAUUUCUCCAAAUAUCACCGAUUCUUGAAACCGGGUCGGCGGAUUGGCAACCAUUCGUGGUUAGGUAGUCUAUCAUAUAAGUAUUAUAUGGACAAAAAUGCCAGUUCCAUUACAGAUUGAUAGGCAUGAGUCACCCCAACUGUAACGUGGGAGUCUACUUCGAAAGCGACAAUGCAGAGGGUUUUUUCUUUAUCCCGAAAAAAAUGAAGUAGCUAUGUGUACUAGAAAUUAUGUGCAACCUUUUUAGCAGGAAAUUAUGUGUAACUUGAUCGACUUAGAAUUUAUAAAUAGCAAAUCUCCUUUAUUCAUCCUCCAAAAAUCAAUGUACACAAGAUCAAAUACACACAACGGUAAAAACUACUAAAUGACUAUGUGUCUAUGACUCUAUGUAUAAGCACAUAUGUGCGCGUGUAGGUAACAUCAAACCAGAGAAAGCAUCAAGCCAUGAGACCGGCGAGCAGGACGGCGGCGAGGCCGAAGCCUGCGGUGGCUCCAAUAGAGGUAGCGGCAGAUGACGGCGGUGGGGGAGAGUUGCUAGCGCCGGGACCAGCGGCCGGGGCGGGCGAAGAUGAUCCGGGCGUAACUUCGAUCUUGACCUUCAUGAGGCCGGUGCCGGUGGUGGUGCAGUGGCCAGGGAAGCCGCAGAUGAAGUAGCGGGUGCCGGUGGAGGUGAGGGCCACGUUGUCGUUGCCGGUGGUGUGCGUGGCGAUGGGGCUGUUGGUGUUGCAGGAGUCGUAGUCGGCCUUGCUCACCUCAAGCACGUCGUGCUGCGUCGGGGAGUACUUGAACACGAUCGCGUCGCCCGGGUGGAACUUCUUGGAGGACACCCAGCUGCCGUAGUCGGUUCUCAGGUCCCACGCGCCGCCCGGCUCCCCGACGUUGUAGGUCGCCGCCGACGCGGUGCCCAGGACGGCGGCCAUCGCGGCCACGGCAAGGAGGGUGAUCCUCAUGGCGGCCAUCGCGGCUUGGAAGCUGGAAGGAG
rnacentral:lncRNA from 1 species